rnacentral:rRNA from 1 species
AUUGAACGCUGGCGGCAGGCUUAACACAUGCAAGUCGAGCGGAGAUGAGGUGCUUGCACCUUAUCUUAGCGGCGGACGGGUGAGUAAUGCUUAGGAAUCUGCCUAUUAGUGGGGGACAACAUUCCGAAAGGAAUGCUAAUACCGCAUACGCCCUACGGGGGAAAGCAGGGGAUCUUCGGACCUUGCGCUAAGAGAUGAGCCUAAGUCGGUUUAGCUAGUUGGUGGGGUAGAGGCCGACCAAGGCGACGAUCUGUAGGGGGUCUGAGAGGAUGAUCCGCCACACUGGGACGGAGACACGGCCCAGACUCACACGGGAGGCAGCAGUGGGGAAUAUUGGACAAUGGGCGGAAGCCUGAUCCAGCCAUGCCGCGUGUGUGAAGAAGGCCGUUUGGUUGUAAAGCACUUUAAGCGAGGAGGAGGCUACCUGGAUUAAUACUCUAGGAUAGUGGACGUUACUCGCAGAAGAAGCACCGGCUAACUCUGUGCCAGCCGCCGCCGUAAGAC